AGCCGCAGUACUCUGACUGUGCAAAGGUAGCAUAAUCAGUUGGCUUUUAAUUAAAGUCUAGUAUGAAUGAAAGUAUGGGUGGUAACUGUCUUAGCAUAUUAAUUCGAAAUUAUUAAGCAAGUGCAAAUACUUGCAAGGUUAAAAAAGACGAGAAGACCCUAGAAACUUAAAUUAGCUUUUGUUGGGGCGACAGAAUUACAUUUAACUAAUUCUUAAAACAUGACAUUUCAUUGAAAGAAUAAGUUACUCUAGGGAUAACAGCAUAAUUUUAACAGUUUGUGACCUCGAUGUUGGACUAGGUAUUAUACCCUUAAGGCAAGGGUAUAAGAUGCUCUGUUCGAGCAAUUCCACCUACGUGAUCUGA
rnacentral:rRNA from 1 species